UACGUAGGUGGCAAGCGUUGUCCGGAUUUACUGGGCGUAAAGGAUGCGUAGGCGGACAUUUAAGUCAGAUGUGAAAUACCCGAGCUUAACUUGGGUGCUGCAUUUGAAACUGGGUGUCUAGAGUGCAGGAGAGGUAAGUGGAAUUCCUAGUGUAGCGGAUGAAAUGCGUAGAGUAUUAGGAAGAACACCAGUGGCGAAGGCGACUUCUGGACUGUAACUGACGCUGAGGCAUGAAGCGUGGGGAGCAAACAGG
rnacentral:rRNA from 1 species